rnacentral:rRNA from 1 species
UGCGGAAUCCCGGGAAUCAUCGAGUCUUUGAACGCAAGUUGCGCCCGAAGCCAUUAGGCUGAGGGCACGUCUGCCUGGGCGUCA